UUUGUAGAUUGUUGGUAAACAAGUGUAAGCACUUCGGCAGUAAGUAGUCUGCUUCACGAUUUGUUGAGGUUUCCUGAAAAUCUUCCUAUAAUAAAGUACUUUAGAUGUAGUUUUGUCAACUAAACUGGUUUUGAAACUAUAGUAAACGUUAUUGGAAUGACUGCUAAGACUAUUCAAUUACGAGAAAAGUGCCGCUUUUGUCUGUGUUCAGAUGAUCUUUUAUCUUUUUCGGAAGCAUUAAAUACGGCAUUCGACUUCGAAGAUGUCCGGCAUUUCACCGGCAUUGAGAUGGCCAAAGAUGCAGACAUUGCAGUUUGCUAUGAGUGUUGUACAUCAAUCAACGAAUCAAAGAAUUUCCGGCUCACUUGUUUGCGUAAUGAUUCGAUUUUUAAAAGGCUUAUGUGUCUAGAUGAUAGAAGCACUACGCACAAUAUAACAAUAGCACGUGCUGCUCCAAAAGACGAAGUGAAGAGUGAACAUGAUGUAAUAACAUUGGACGAUUCGGAAUCCGAUGAUUCUUCUUCGCAUUUGGGGCAGCCUGUAUCAGACGACAAAAAUACUCUUUUCCAUGACGAAAACCAAUCGAAUUAUGAACACGGAAAAACCUAUACCUACGAACAAUCAAGACACGGGUCCGAUACCGACGGACAUUCCGGAAAAUUAGAUGGGAAUGAUUCCGAUUAUUCUAUGCCUUCUCUAUUCGAUGAAACUACUCACAAACCCUCGAAGGAUGCAGAUAUGCAACAAUCCUUGGACGCUGAGUCGAUGAUCGGAACCAAAAUAGAGAAAAGUGCAGAAUGUGCCACUGACGUUCGCAGAGAAAAUUCAAAAACGGAUUGCACAUGCAUCAGUCGUAAUAAAGAAUCUUCCACGAACUGGUCAAGAAGAAAAAGAAUAGUCCUAGAUCCCAAUGACUCGGAUGAUUCUAUAACUUCGCUUUACACUGAAUGCAAUAGAAAACGUUCUGGCACGCGUCAUUUAAUUACUACCUGUCCAGUGCAUGCCACUAGUAGUGAUUCAGCUUUGUCUUUACGGCGUCAUCAUGUAUUAUGUCAUCUUUGCGGAGCUAUCGUCGAUAGAAUGAAACGCCAUUUAGAUGGCGCUCACGGCGGUGAAAAAACGAUUGCAUGUCCAUUCUGUCCGAAAAAGUUUGCGGAACCAUACCACCUUAAACCACAUAUUAAUACAUGGCAUGAGAGGAAAAUAAUUUUAACCUGUUCAAUAUGCGGAAAGGGAUUUGUCAAUGAAGGCAGCUACACAUAUCAUAUGACAAACAAACACGUUAAAAGCGAUCUGUAUGAGUGUACAACAUGCAAAAGGAAACUGAAAUCUUGGGACGGGUACAAAAAACAUCUGAAGGAACAUUCAUUGACUGCUCUGAAGUGCGAGGAUUGCGGCAGGCUGUAUAAAAAUAUGGUCACGUUAGAGAAACAUAAACUUCGUUAUCACUCAUCGUAGCGACAGCUACGGUACUGAGUUGCUUUAUUCCAACAGUUAUUCACUUGUUGUAAAGAAGCAUGAAAUGUAAAGCAAAUCUAUACCAAUCCAGGGCGUACGAGAGGACUGACUAUCCACGUACAACAAGGAAACAAGUCUCGGCAAAAAAUGCUAAAGAUUGUUUCAGAACAACCUCAGCACGGACUUAUAUUGAAUUUAUCUGGUCGAAUCAAGCUGUAAAUUUUCAUGUAUUUUACGCCAAAUGUUUGGUUCUUUUCUUAGGAAAUAUUUAUCUCCUCCGCGAUUACCGUGUAAUUUUAGUUUUUUGUACAUUUAAUUUUGCGGAUAAGUCACGCAACAAAUGGUUUUUAUCUCAAGCGAAGUUGCACGUAUGACAAAGGUUUGGUUGAAAAGAAAAUGGAGUUUAAAAACUCGCUUUUAUUGGUACAGUAUCAAUAUUCGUGGACAAAUGGCUUGAACAGGAAUUUUGAUUGCUUUUGCGUGUAACUGAAUAUUGCUUUUUCUUUACUUUACUCAUAAAGAUUUCGGAGCUGGCCUAAGUGUGUAACUAACUGUUGUUCUGAUUUCAACGAUUAUUUAUUUCGACGCGAACGGUUCCAAAUAUAAUAAAUACGCGAAUCGCGCUAGGUUUUCUUUUCAGGUCGCUGUUGCGGUUGCUUGGUCAGGCGACGUCGCGUUACGCUCAAA